AGAUUUUCAUGACUACAGAGGAGUAACAAAUUAUAUGAACAGAUUAAAAAUACUCAAUUUUUAAAAUAUAAUUUCCAGUGAGGAAAACUGAGAAGUUUGUCUACAGUUCAGUCUCACUGUCACUACUUAUUUCACAGGUUUGCACAAAUUACGAUGGAAUAAAUUGCUGCAAAAGAGACCAUAGAGAACUUUCCAGAAUAUGGCACAGAGAAGGAGAUCCUAACAGAAAGCCACAAACUCACUGAGUAUGAAGAAAAGAGAUACUGUUUUUUCGAGGAUGAGGAAGAUUUAAGGGGCAGUUACUACAGAAGGAGUUGCAAAGUAAAAGCUCUGAAAAUGUGCUUAGGGCUAUAUUUAAGUAUUCGUUCUUUUAGUAAGCUGUGCUUAUAUAUGCUGAAACUCCAAAAAGGAUGGACUGAGAAUAGCUUAUAAAAGGCUGUGAAACUGAUACAGACAGGAGACAGGAAAAUACUGGGUAGAAGAGGGUUGUUCCCUGGCAAAGGCCCCACCCUCAAGCCUGAAUACCCGCAGCCCUAAAUUAAGACAGGCAUUCCUUUCUUUACACCCAAAAGUUGCCUUUAGGCCCACCACGCCCUUAUCCUCUACCCAAAUAAGCUUGAACCCCAUGCUCCAGAAGCAGACAAACAGACAAGGAGACAAGAAGACGAGCAGACGAACGGCAUACAGGUGUGGCAAAGAAGGAAAGAAGAGAAGGAGCAUAUGAAUGCCAAGAGGAAUUUGGCUGGGGACAAUUGGAAAGGAGAUCAGCCAGUGGAAGGCCAAACUCCAGGCGAAGACCAUCUUCCCACUCCAUCCCACCUCCAGCUCCCUAUCCAUCCCAUUAAGAGCCUCCUCCACCACUCAAUAAAACCCCCGCAUUCA
rnacentral:lncRNA from 1 species